CCUACGGGUGGCAGCAGUGGGGAAUAUUGGGCAAUGGGCGCAAGCCUGACCCAGCAACGCCGCGGGAAGGAAGAAGGCGUUCGGGUUGUAAACUUCUUUUGUCAGGGACGAAGCAAGUGACGGUACCUGACGAAUAAGCCACGGCUAACUAUGUGCCAGCAGCCGCGGUAAUACGUAGGCGGCAAGCGUUAUCCGGAUUUAUUGGGUGUAAAGGGCGUGUAGGCGGGAAUGCAAGUCAGAUGUGAAAACUAUGGGCUCAACCCAUAGCCUGCAUUUGAAACUGUAUUUCUUGAGUGCUGGAGAGGCAAUCGGAAUUCCGUGUGUAGCGGGGAAAUGCGUAGAUAUACGGAGGAACACCAGUGGCGAAGGCGGAUUGCUGGACAGUAACUGACGCUGAGGCGCGAAAGCGUGGGGAGCAAACAGGAUUAGAUACCCUUGUAGUC
rnacentral:rRNA from 1 species